rnacentral:tRNA from 1 species
AAUAAGAUGCCUGAAUUAAAAGGAUUAUUUUGAUAGAAUAAAAAAUGUAGAGAAUUCUACUCUUAUUA